rnacentral:lncRNA from 1 species
GAGUGUACUGUAUAUAUGUUUUAAAAAUACAAUACUGGAAAAGGCAGGAAACUGUACCAACAAAUGGGGUAUUUUUAGGGGGGAGGGGGUUCAGUUCAACUUAAAUAUAGUAUUUUGCCAGUAAUUUUGUGCUAAAUUAAUGCUGUACUGUAUAAUAGGUAAAUGAUUAAACUUGAACAGUAACUAUUGUGUACCGAUCAUAGUUAAUGUUACUGAUCAAAUAUUACAGGUUAUAGCCUACCUACUAAUUGUGCUGCGAGUGUUGUUCUCUGAAUUGUUGUUAUACAAGUUGAUUUGUCUUGAUAUAAGUGGAUAUUUGGACUUGAUAUAAGUAUAAUUUGUCUAUAAAGGUUGACGGUUUAAUGACUUAUUUCAGAUUUGAGUGGGAGGUGGAUGACCUUUGUAGGGUAUUUGACCUUGGCUGAAGCCUUUAUAUACAAUAUACAGAAGUGUGUGGGAGGUGGAAGAGCAUUCUUGGCUAUUUGACAUUGGCUGAAGUCUUAUAAAGAUUUGAAAGUAACACCACACAUGGUGGAGCUAUUUAACUCUGCAAUCACGUACGAGAAGGAAGAACCAGGGGACGGUGACGAACUGGACUCCACCAUUAUCAUGCUCCACCACCAUUUGAGUUUAUGAUUUGGCCGUGAAGCUUGUCGUACAUGUGGCAACCCUGUUCCUAUGCGAUUUGAGUGGGAGGUGGAUGACCUUUGUAGGGUAUUUGACCUUGGCUGAAGCCUUUAUAUACAAUAUACAGAAGUGUGUGGGAGGUGGAAGAGCAUUCUUGGCUAUUUGACAUUGGCUGAAGUCUUAUAAAGUGUUGAAGAAGAAGAAGGAGGGGGGUCCACGACGUUGUUGCUGUCACUUACUCGAAUCAGUUAUCUCUGGGACUCGCUAAGACUAGUUGUCAAAUUUUUCUACUUCGGCCGUGGAAAGUGUAUCAGUUUUCCCCCGUCUCUGAAAACCUGAGGGGGGAAAUUCACCCUGGUUGAGAACCCCUGCUUUAUAGUUUACAAAGCCAUCUGAGUUACUUUCUGAAAUUCUGAUUGAUAGUUUUCAAAAUGAUUAGUUUUUGCAAAGUGUCUUACGACAGUGGUAGAAAAUAUAACAAAUUAUGGGAAGAAAAAUUCGUCUGUGUUAGUAUAGCCAGUGAUGGAAGUGAAAAUGGUCCAGUUCCAAGGAAAAUGUUGCAGAGAUUUGAAAGUAACACCACACAUGGUGGAGCUAUUUAACUCUGCAAUCAUGUACGAGAAGGAAGAACCAGGGGACGGUGACGAACUGGACUCCACCAUUAUCAUGCUCCACCACCAUUUGAGUUUACGAAGUGUGUGGGAGGUGGAAGAGCAUUCUUGGCUAUUUGACAUUGGCUGAAGUCUUAUACAGUGUAGAAGAAGAAGAAGGAGGGGGGUCCACGACGUUGUUGCUGUCACUUACUCGAAUCAGUUAUCUCUGGGACUCGCUAAGACUAGUUGUCAAAUUUUUGUACUUCGGCCGUGGAAAGUGGUUGGUCACGGCCAAACUAUUUGGCCGAAUUUUGUGUUAAUACCUCAUCUAGUGGAUUUUGAAGACAUGUCUAACAGAUUUUCAAAUUUCUCAAUUGAAACGUGUCCAGCAUAUGGGUUAAGCUUUAUAGCAGUGGUUCUCAACCUUGUUUGCUCCAUGCACUCUUUUCACCAUAUGUCAGAAUGUCAUUCCUCCCUCCUUUCCAAGAUUGUCUGCCUCAAAAAUUGCAUUCCAAAUAAUAUGCAUAUAAUACUGAAAAUCCUUUAUUAUUUCCAUAUUAGUAUCAGUUUUCCCCCGUCUCUGAAAACCUGAGGGGGGAAAUUCACCCUGGUUGAGAACCCCUGCUUUAUAGUUUACAAAGCCAUCUGAGUUACUUUCUGAAAUUCUGAUUGAUAGUUUUCAAAAUGAUUAGUUUUUGCAAAGUGUCUUACGACAGUGGUAGAAAAUAUAACAAAUUAUGGGAAGAAAAAUUUGUCUGUGUUAGUAUAGCCAGUGAUGGAAGUGAAAAUGCUCCAGUUCCAAGGAAAAUGUUGCAGAUUUGAAAGUAACACCACACAUGGUGGAGCUGUUUAACUCUGCAAUCACGUACGAGAAGGAAGAACCAGGGGACGGUGACGAACUGGACUCCACCAUUAUCAUGCUCCACCACCAUUUGAGUUUAUGAUUUGGCCGUGAAGCUUGUCGUACAUGUGGCAACCCUGUUCCUAUGCGAUUUGAGUGGGAGGUGGAUGACCUUUGUAGGGUAUUUGACCUUGGCUGAAGCCUUUAUAUACAAUAUACAGAAGUGUGUGGGAGGUGGAAGAGCAUUCUUGGCUAUUUGACAUUGGCUGAAGUCUUAUAAAGAUUUGGCCGUGAAGCUUGUCGUACAUGUGGCAACCCUGUUCCUAUACGGUAUGUGUUAAUUGUGGUUAAUUUCAUGUUCACGAAGAUUUAAUGUUAAAUAUUUUAAGUGUUUAUUCGGACGUACUUCACAAGAUUUGGUAUAUAUUUUGGCUAUAGAGACGUACUGUAGAUGUGUGUUCUUAUUUUAUUGCAUUACAGUUGUACAAAGACUACAUUACUUAAUUUUUAGUUACAAUAUUAUUCAUUCGAGGACCGUGAAGACGAGUACACAAGACUGUUAGUUUCCGUUAACGGAACUGUUGUUGCACAAAAUCGGAAACAUUCUGCUAUAACUUAAAGUAGGCCUACAGUACUGUAGCUGUCGUUGUGGUUUUAGUUUUGUUUAAGGAUUUGUUCACCUUUAAAAAAAAAAAUAGAGUAAUUGUUAACUUACUUUGAAAUAAUUACAUAUUUAAAGUAUGCUUUGCUUGUAGGUUUUAAAAAGCCUUUAUAGAUACAGGGUAUUCUUAAAUAUGUAGACCAUCUUUACGAUACGAAGAAGUUAGUUUUCACGUUGUCAAAAUAUUGAUUUUUCCAAAAAUAAGCUUGACCUAAAUCCCUUAGUCUCCAGCAUUUGUAAGAAAGUAGUUUAAAUUUCAUACUAAGGUACUUUACACGAUUUUAAAUCUUGGUAAUUGUGUUAAUAUGAGGGCAACUGGUGAACUCUUUUAAUGCUGGCUGACUGGCUUUUCCUCUAGUCUUCCUACGCUGCCAGACAUACCAUGCAAUGCCUGCCUCGGCCCCAGCUUGCUGGCAG